CCUUAGUCAAAUUUGCUUGGUUCCAAUGUUACCACGAUUGCAAUACAAGAACAAGAUUCCAAAUAACUGAUUGAACCAAACUACAGUGAGAAGGAAUUUUAUUUGUCAGAUAUUGAAAAGUUUCUAAUUUUAUACAAUUACAAUUUCAGUUAUGCUGUAUCUAUUUUUAUCUAUUUAUUAUCCAGUUAUGCUAUUAUCAAUUUGCAUCCAUUUAUUUACCAUCAAACGGCGAAGUAGGUCAUUGGCUUCGGGAAUCUGUUAGCUAGUAGUUACUGCGGUCAGAUUCUUGUUAUUACACAAUAUAACAUUCAGAGUUAUCUGUUAUAUCGACUCUCAAUGUAUGGUACUGGUUGGCGGUAACAA
rnacentral:lncRNA from 1 species